AGUGAACGCUGGCGGUAGGCCUAACACAUGCAAGUCGAACGGCAGCACAGUAAGAGCUUGCUCUUACGGGUGGCGAGUGGCGGACGGGUGAGGAAUACAUCGGAAUCUACUUUUUCGUGGGGGAUAACGCAGGGAAACUUACGCUAAUACCGCAUACGACCUACGGGUGAAAGCAGGGGAUCUUCGGACCUUGCGCGAUUGAAUGAGCCGAUGUCGGAUUAGCCAGUUGGCGGGGUAAAGGCCCACCAAGGCGACGAUCCGUAGCUGGUCUGAGAGGAUGAUCAGCCACACUGGAACUGAGACACGGUCCAGACUCCUACGGGAGGCAGCAGUGGGGAAUAUUGGACAAUGGGCGCAAGCCUGAUCCAGCCAUACCGCGUGGGUGAAGAAGGCCUUCGGGUUGUAAAGCCCUUUUGUUGGGAAAGAAAAGCAGCAGGUUAAUACCCCGCUGUUCUGACGGUACCCAAAGAAUAAGCACCGGCUAACUUCGUG
rnacentral:rRNA from 1 species